AUUCCGGUUGAUCCUGCCGGAGGCCAUUGCUAUCGGAGUUCGACUUAGCCAUGCUAGUCGCGCGGGUUUAGACCCGCGGCAAAUAGCUCAGUAACACGUGGCCAAACUGCCCUACAGAUCGGAAUAACCUCGGGAAACUGAGGCUAAUGCCGAAUAGGACUUUCAGGUUGGAGUGCCGAGAGUUCGAAACGCUACGGCGCUGUAGGAUGUGGCUGCGGCCGAUUAGGUAGACGGUGGGGUAACGGCCCACCGUGCCGAUAAUCGGUACAGGUUGUGAGAGCAAGAGCCUGGAGACGGAAUCUGAGACAAGAUUCCGGGCCCUACGGGGCGCAGCAGGCGCGAAACCUUUACACUGCACGACAGUGCGAUAGGGGAACUCCGAGUGCGAGGGCAUAGAGCCCUCGCUUUUCCACACCGUAAGGUGGUGCGGGAACAAGUGCUGGGCAAGACCGGUGCCAGCCGCCGCGGUAAUACCGGCAGCACAAGUGAUGGCCGAUUUUAUUGGGCCUAAAGCGUCCGUAGCUGGCCGUGCAAGUCUGUCGGGAAAUCCAGUGGCUCAACCUCUGGGCUUCCGGCGGAAACUGCUCGGCUUGGGACCGGAAGACUCGAGGGGUACGUUCGGGGUAGGAGUGAAAUCCUGUAAUCCUGAACGGACCACCGAUGGCGAAAGCACCUCGAGAGCACGGAUCCGACAGUGAGGGACGAAAGCUAGGGUCUCGAACCGGAUUAGAUACCCGGGUAGUCCUAGCUGUUAACGAUGCCCGCUCGGUUCGGCGCAGGCUACGAGCCUGUGCCGCGCCUCAGUGAAGACGUAAGCGGGCCGCCUGGGAAGUACGUCCGCAAGGAUGAAACUUAAAGGAAUUGGCGGGGGAGCACUACAACCGGAGGAGCCUGCGGUUUAAUUGGACUCAACGCCGGACAUCUCACCNUUACCCGACGCCGUUGAGAGGAGGUGCAUGGCCGCCGUCAGCUCGUACCGUGAGGCAUCCUGUUAAGUCAGGCAACGAGCGAGACCCGCGUCCGUAAUUGCCAGCAGCACCCUUGUGGUGGCUGGGUACAUUACGGAGACUGCCACGGCUAACGUGGAGGAAGGAACGGGCAACGGUAGGUCAGCAUGCCCCGAAUGUGCUGGGCAACACGCGGGCUACAAUGGCCNGAGACUGCCACGGCUAACGUGGAGGAAGGAACGGGCAACGGUAGGUCAGCAUGCCCCGAAUGUGCUGGGCAACACGCGGGCUACAAUGGCCUGGACAGUGGGUUGCAACACCGAGAGGUGGCGCUAAUCCCCUAAACCGGGUCGUAGUUCGGAUUGAGGACUGAAACUCGUCCUCAUGAAGCUGGAUUCGGUAGUAAUCGCGUGUCAGAAGCGCGCGGUGAAUACGUCCCUGCUCCUUGCACACACCGCCCGUCAAAUCACCNUCACCCGAGUGGGGUCCGGAUGAGGCCAUCAUGCGAUGGUCGAAUCUGGGCUCCGCAAGGGGGAUUAAGUCGUAACAAGGUAGCCGUAGAGGAAUCUGCGGCUGGAUCACCUCCU
rfam:Halosimplex carlsbadense 2-9-1 contig_27, whole genome shotgun sequence.